rnacentral:lncRNA from 1 species
CCAUGUGAGUUUCAUUUAAGGUUGGUCAAUUUGGCACUCAUUUUGGAUAUGAAGGUGAAUAACUCCUAGGCGUCAAGAAUCCUUAGGUUUGCACACCAUACGCCAUGCUGCAAAGGAAGGAUUAUGCUUUGUCAAGUCUCCCCCUCUUCAUAAUCAUUGCCUUCUUUGUUUGUCAAUUUUCUCAUUGAUUUAUUUUUAUACCAUAAGGGAACAUAGAUGAGAAGUAGAGAAUGAGGUCAUGGCUGUAUAUACCAUCUGUAGUUUUUCUUAUGUGGCGUAGAAACCGAGCAUAGCUCUGAACCGUAAGCUGGCUCAACACUCUAUCUUCCAUUGUUUCAGGGUAUCAUUAGUUUAAUGCCAGGCUAAGGCUUUUUUCCAAAAAUAAUUCAAGGAAAACCAAUGCCAAAGGUCAUGCGUCCUCGUGGACCUAGGUCCACCUAAACAUAACUUAAUGGGAUAAGGUUCAGAUUAAAUAAUUUUAGAAAGUUUCACACUUGAUGCAAAAUAUUAUAGUUUAGUGUUCACGUUGGACCAAGAUUUAAUAGUAGAGAUUGCUUGGAUUAAGUGGGGGUGAAGAUGUUCUUGCUGUCUAUAUCUGGAAUAAAAACCUGAUGAAGAUCCUUCCGAGGUAAGGUUCUCUUUGACUGUUCGUUCUUUGAACUCUUUUCCCGUCUCCUUAUAUUCAUGACUUAGUUCUAUUUUUGUGUAGGCGUUUCAAAUGUGCCUCUUCUCGCACUGAAUAGGGCCAUCAACGGAGCAGUCAAAGAAGCAACACUGCAGUAGCAAAAAAAAUGAUACGUGGCACUCUCCCAGUGUCCGCGCCCAGUAUAAUGUCAAAAUAGUAGUUGCUUCUUGUUCUUCAGAAAGUAAAUUUAAACAUCUGUUGUAAGAUUCCAGUACAAGCAAGAUUUUUAUGUGAGAUAGUAGCCGUGUUAUAUUUACAAAAUAAGGUUCUUUACUCCUAAGUCUAAUGUUUUGUGCCUCACGUCUGAAUUCAGGUCAAGGCAACCGCUGCUAGCUGCUCUGCCACAAGUACGAAAACAAACGUAGUUCUUUGCCUAAAAGGUGAAAACAAUUGUACUAAGCACCAACACAAUCACGUUUAGGUAGGGGUGAAGCCAGUAGUCAAUGAGUCAUCUCCAUACUCCAGGUUCAACACUAACUACUGUUUGAUUAGUGUGGUAUUGCCGAAAACAAUAGUACCAAGCACUAACACAAUCACCUGAGUAUAUCACAUGGGUAUAGCACUGAUUACUAUUUGAUUACCAUUAUACAGAUUUUGAAGGUAAGACAUUCAAAGUCGGUCUGUAAACGCGCUGGGGUUGUUUCUUAUCAUCAAUGGGGACUACAUGUUUUGAACGGACCAUUUUUAUCCCAUAUCUAAUAGUUCUGAUAACAAAUAGACACUGCUUUACUUUCAACUUUUUUGUAUGGGUGUGUCGUUUUAUUAAUUUAGGAAAUUGGAAGUGAUAUGUUGGUUUUACAGUUGUGACACAGUUAAAGUUGUACUUGCUAAUGAUACCAGGUGGCAUUUUGAGAAUGUGUCAUUUUCUUGAAAUAAUCACCAUUGUUUUCUCACUUCGUCUUUAUCUUAAAAGAUGGAGCACAUAUUGGCAUACACUAGAACAUUGUAACAGGCUUGACGAUCAAAACAUCUGUUGUCGGCUUGUUCAUCUUGUAUUUGCUAAAACCAGAUGCACAUUGAGUUUAUAUAAAAAGAAUUGUACCCCAAUCUGCUUCUCCUGUUCAUUGUAUCCACAGAUUUUGUAAAUCAGCGUAUCGUAUGCUUCUCAUGUCCAGAUUCAGUGGUUCACUUCAUUUUUGCCAGGUGUGUAUAGCUGACUGCUAUUUGAUUGCCCCGUUGACAUGAUAGAUGAGGCAAGGGCCAGGAGAGGAGAACUGAGGACCAGAAAGCAUAGGAACAGAUUUUGCUGCAUUAGCCAAGGAUAAAAAAAGAAAAGAGGGGAAAAGAAGCGGAGGAUAAAGAUUUGGCCAAUGAUCCGAUAUGUCUUCACUUCAAGGGUAACCUUGUACUUAGUCCUAAGAUCGUAGGUUGAUGUUUGGAUUGAGAAUUAUUGCCUGGUUAAGGCAACUGCUAAUUAGAAUAUGAAUAUAAAGGUUUUAAAAUCAAAAUUGUGUAUAAACAGUUUAGAAUUUGAUAUAGUAGUAAAUGCAAAGUUGUAGAGCAUCUGAAGGAGGCUAUAGUUUGUACUCCCCCCGUCUCACAAUGUAAGACUUUUUUGCAAACAAGGCAGUAGACAGUAGUACUGAAUGUUGAUUUCUCUUUACAUAAAUGUAAGUGCAUGAUUAGUUUUGAGAAAUAGUUUUAUGCAUUAUUUUGAUAUAUCUGCGUCUCUCCUGGUCUGAUUGUAGUAGAAAAAAAAUUAGUUGGUGUGGGUUCCCUAUAUUUUAGUGCUAACUACAAUCUAUAUCUCGUGGUAACAACAUAUGUUAGUCAGCUGGGUGCCCAUAUAUAUGCAUAACUAAUGGAGCUUUUACACUGAAUUAUUGCGAUGAGCAUAACAAUGAACUGAGAAAGAGAAAGGAAGCGAAACCGCGAUUCCAUGAUUUUGAAAGAAAUGGAACGAAACACCAUGCUCGGACAUGGCAAGGACGAGAUGCCGGCUGCUCGGAUAGUGAGGCGAAGACGUUGAAGGAGUAAUGAAUGCAGACACGGCAAGGACGAGAAGCAGGGCAAGGACGAUGUUGGGCCACUAGGACACAACGACGCGAAGACGUGUUCAGGCAAUCCUGCACGGCGGAGUUGUAGGUGGACAUGGCGGUGAAGAUUUUUUUUGUGAGGGACGACGAGGACAUGUUGAUGCAGUACUAUACUAUACGCCGGAUUUCGUAGGCUGUUGUGGCAUUGACCCACCAUCAACCCAUGUACAAACUGUGGUUUGCUGCCUAAACACGCAUGUACAUUAAUGGCCUAGAUACAACUUCUAAUCAU